AGAGUUGAUCCUGGCUAGGACGAACGCUGGCGGCACGCCUAACACAUGCAAGUCGAACGGAGAUUUGAGAGCUUGCUCUUAAAUCUUAGUGGCGGACGGGUGAGUAACACGUGAGCAACCUGCCUCUGAGAGAGGGAUAGCUUCUGGAAACGGAUGGUAAUACCUCAUAACAUUACAUGACCGCAUGAUCGUGUAAUCAAAGAUUUAUCACUCAGAGAUGGGCUCGCGUCUGAUUAGCUAGUUGGUGAGGUAACGGCCCACCAAGGCGACGAUCAGUAGCCGGACUGAGAGGUUGAACGGCCACAUUGGGACUGAGACACGGCCCAGACUCCUACGGGAGGCAGCAGUGAGGGAUAUUGCACAAUGGAGGAAACUCUGAUGCAGCGAUGCCGCGUGGAGGAAGAAGGUUUUCGGAUUGUAAACUCCUGUUUCGAGGGACGAUAAUGACGGUACCUCGGGAGGAAGCUCCGGCUAACUACGUGCCAGCAGCGGC
rnacentral:rRNA from 1 species